rnacentral:rRNA from 1 species
ACAUGCAAGUCGAGCGGCAGCGCGGGGGCAACCCUGGCGGCGAGCGGCAAACGGGUGAGUAACAUAUCGGAACGUACCCAGACGUGGGGGACAACUAGUCGAAAGACUAGCUAAUACCGCAUACGUCCUACGGGAGAAAGCGGGGGCUCGCAAGACCUCGCGCGUUUGGAGCGGCCGAUAUCUGAUUAGCUAGAUGGUAGGGUAAAGGCCCACCAUGGCGACGAUCAGUAGCUGGUCUGAGAGGAUGAUCAGCCACGCUGGAACUGAGACACGGUCCAGACUCCUACGGGAGGCAGCAGUGGGGAAUUUUGGACAAUGGGGGAAACCCUGAUCCAGCCAUUCCGCGUGAGUGAAGAAGGCCUUCGGGUUGUAAAGCUCUUUCGGCAGGAACGAAACGGCGGAUACUAAUAUUAUCCGUUACUGACGGUACCUGAAGAAGAAGCACCGGCUAACUACGUGCCAGCAGCCGCGGUAAUACGUAGGGUGCGAGCGUUAAUCGGAAUUACUGGGCGUAAAGCGUGCGCAGGCGGUGAUCCAAGUCAGAUGUGAAAUCCCCGGGCUUAACCUGGGAAC